UGCCAGCAGCCGCGGUAAUACGGAGGGUGCAAGCGUUGUUCGGAAUUACUGGGCGUAAAGCGCACGUAGGCGGAUCAGAAAGUUAGGGGUGAAAUCCCAGGGCUCAACCCUGGAACUGCCUCUAAAACUCCUGGUCUAGAGUUCGAGAGAGGUGAGUGGAAUUCCGAGUGUAGAGGUGAAAUUCGUAGAUAUUCGGAGGAACACCAGUGGCGAAGGCGGCUCACUGGCUCGAUACUGACGCUGAGGUGCGAAAGCGUGGGGAGCAAACAGGAUUAGAUA
rnacentral:rRNA from 1 species